rnacentral:tRNA from 1 species
GCCGGAAUGGCGGAACGGUAGACGCGAACGCCUCAAAAGCGUUUGUCCGAAAGGACGUGUGGGUUCGAAUCCCACUUCCGGCACCC